CCUACGGGAGGCAGCAGUGGGGAAUAUUGGGCAAUGGGCGCAAGCCUGACCCAGCAACGCCGCGUGAAGGAAGAAGGCUCUCGGGUUGUAAACUUCUUUUAUCAGGGACGAAGCAAGUGACGGUACCUGAUGAAUAAGCCACGGCUAACUACGUGCAAGCAGCCGCGGUACUACGAAGGGGGCAAGCGUUAUCCGGAUUUACUGGGUGUAAAGGGCGAGUAGGCGGGAAAGCAAGUCAGAUGUGAAAACCAUGGGCGCAACCUGUGGCCUGCAUUUGAAACUGUUUGUCGUGAGUACGGUAGAGGCAGACGGAAUUUCUAGUGUAGCGGUGAAAUGCGUAGAUAUUAGGAGGAACACCAGUGGCGAAGGCGAUCUCCUGGACAGAUACUGACGCUGAGGCGCGAAAGCGUGGGGAGCAAACAGGAUUAGAUACCCUUGUAGUC
rnacentral:rRNA from 1 species